rnacentral:lncRNA from 1 species
GUCAGAAUUAGGCCCUAUUAAAAAUUACUCAUGCCGUCUUCCUCUCCCCCCACGUUUUCCAGGUGAAGAAGAGAAUUAACAUCCCAUUUUCAGCUACCGGUGCCAUGACGCUACUCCUGACAUUGCUGCUGGUGCUAUAAAAGCAGAGUCCCACAGGUUGUCUCCUUGUUCUGUGAGAGACUGGAAAUGCCUCUCUGAGCAUAACUGAACUCUCCUGCUCAGCUUGACUGAAGAGAGAGCGUGUUUCUUUGAUUUCUUAUCAUGAAGGCCAAGUGAGUGGCACUGACUUUCCUUCUAGGACUUUUCUGAGGAAACAAACCAGUGAAGAAGUGACAGUGACCAGACCUGGACUAACAAAGCUCUAAUAAGGU